UACGAACGGUCCAAACGUUAUUCGGAAUCACUGGGCUUAAAGCGUCCGUAGGCGGCUCGGAAAGUAGGGUGUGAAAUCCCACGGCUCAACCGUGGAAUUGCGCUCUAAACUAUCGAGCUAGAGGGAGAUAGAGGUGAGCGGAACUGAUGGUGGAGCGGUGAAAUGCGUUGAUAUCAUCAGGAACACCGGAGGCGAAGGCGGCUCACUGGGUCUUUUUCUGACGCUGAGGGACGAAAGCUAGGGGAGCGAACGGG
rnacentral:rRNA from 1 species